UACGUAGGGUGCGAGCGUUGUCCGGAAUUACUGGGCGUAAAGGGUGCGUAGGCGGGUCUUUAAGUCAGGGGUGAAAUCCUGGAGCUCAACUCCAGAACUGCCUUUGAUACUGAAGAUCUUGAGUUCGGGAGAGGUGAGUGGAACUGCGAGUGUAGAGGUGAAAUUCGUAGAUAUUCGCAAGAACACCAGUGGCGAAGGCGGCUCACUGGCCCGAUACUGACGCUGAGGCACGAAAGCGUGGGGAGCAAACAGG
rnacentral:rRNA from 1 species